rnacentral:rRNA from 1 species
AGGUUGCCUAACCGCAAGGAGGGCGCUUCCUAAGGUAAGACCGAUGACUGGGGUGAAGUCGUAACAAGGUAGCCGUAUCGGAAGGUGCGGCUGGAUCACCU